ACUCCAUCACUCCCUCCCUCCGCCACUUUUUCUCUCCUCCACUCUUUUCUUCUUUUGUUUUUUCCCCUCCUCCUCUUUCACUUCUCCUGUAAAAUGAGGCUGGCGCAGGAAGCAGCGGAGUGUGGGUAUUUGGGAGGCGCUGAAACGUGCCUGUCAUUAUCAUCAAAGGCCCUUCCCUUCCCAGGUGCCCUUUUCAAGUUGGAGACAUUGGCGUCUCGCUUUCAAAGACACUUUUUAACUGUGAGGAGAGUUCUGGCCUGGACAUGUGAGAGAGCAUGUGAUAAACUCAUCUCUAUAGUGUUAUUCAAAAUACAUUAAGAACCACUUCAAUAAAAAAGACUUUAUUCUCUGGCCAACCACAGCAGUGAGUCGACUCUACCCUAUCCUCCCUUUCAUAAGUGGCAGGGGAGAGAGAAAAAAAGUGUGUGUAACAGUGUGUAUGACAGAGAAAAAAGUGUGUGACUGUGUAUGACAGUGAAGGAAGUGUGUGACAGUGUGUAUGACAGAGACGGAAGUGUGUGACAGUGUGUAUGACAGCAAAAGAAAACCUGCUGAGCUUGAAGCCUGUCAGAGCUUCCAACUUUUACUUUCGACGUUUUUUGUUUUCAAAGUUUGUCAGCACAGUGUACUCCACAGCUAUCAGUAGUUUAUGUGUUUAAUCUGUUUAUUCUCCACAGCUAUCAGUAGUUUAGAUGUUUAAUCUGUUUAUACUCCUCCUCCACCACUAUCAGUAGUUUAUAUGUUUAGUGUUUAAUCUGUUUAUACUCAACAGCUAUCAGUAGUUUAAUCUGUUUAUACUCAACAGCUAUCAGUAGUUUAGGUGUUUAAUCUGUUUAAUCUGUUUAUUCUCCACAGCUAUCAGUAGUUUAAUCUGUUUAUACUCAACAGCUAUCAGUAGUUUAUGUGUUUAGUGUUUAAUCUGUUUAUACUCAACAGCUAUCAGCAGUUUAGUGUUUAGUCUGUUUGUACUCAACAGCUAUCAGUAGUUUAGUGUUUAGUCUGUUUGUACUCCACAGCUAUCCCGACUUUGUUUGUACCAGGCGUCUUUUUACAGAGGUGUAGCAUUACGCCCCUGUUAAUCUCACCUGUUAAUCUCACCGUCAUCUUUUUACAGAGGUGUAGAGAGAGACCUGUUAAUCUCACCGUCAUCUUUUUACAGAGAUGUAGCAUUACGCUCCUGUUAAUCUCACCGUCAUCUUUUUACAGAGGUGUAGAGAGAGACCUGUUAAUCUCACCGUCAUCUUUUUACAGAGCUGUAGCAUAAUGCACCUGUUAAUCUCACCGUCAUCUUUUUACAGAGCUGUAGCAUAAUGCACCUGUUAAUCUCACCGUCAUCUUUUUACAGAGGUGUAGAGAGAGACCUGUUAAUCUCACCGUCAUCUUUUUACAGAGGUGUAGCAUUCAGUGUUGUGCAUGAACGCGUUCAAAAGAACACGUUCAUUUUUAUGAGAACGAUGAACUGAACGCAACUUCAUGACAAAUAAUGAAUUUGAACGGUGAACACGUUCAUAUUAUCUGAGGUCCAGCGCCACUGAGGUCUAGCUAAAACAUUACGGAAUGUUUUCCUUCUACUGAGGAAAGACGCUGUCUAAAUCGAAUGCUUGUACCAUGUCGUUGCUCAGUACCUAAAAAGGCCAUAGUAAUUAUUUGUUAAAUUGCCCAGACAGACCGUGUUUCGGUAAAUUACCAUAUUUGGUAAUUGCGCACUGUUAAUCUCACCGUCAUCUUUUUACAGAGUUGUAGCAUUACGCACCUGUUAAUCUCACGUCAUCUUUUUACAGAGUUGUAGCAUUACGCACCUGUUAAUCUCACGUCAUCUUUUUACAGAGUUGUAGCAUUACGCACCUGUUAAUCUCACGUCAUCUUUUUACAGAGUUGUAGCAUUACGCACCUGUUAAUCUCGGCGUGAUCUUAAUGUGCACCGUCUUGUAAAACACCACGUUACAAUUAUCACAACACCUCGCCGACGCAACGCUGCUUUCAAAAUGAGCCCUAAUGAAGUGAACAAAAGACAGAAAAAAAACAUUAACAAGCUCAUAUGACUAGAGUCCCGCUGCUGUGGCCUAUUACCACACACACACACACACACACACACACACAUAUACACACACACACACACACACACACACACAUAUACACACACACACACACACACACACACACAUACACACACAUACACACACAUACACACACACACACACACACACACACACACACAAACAAAAGAGCUGAUAUUUACUGCAAACCUCAUGUAGCUUAACGCUAAGGCCGCACGGCUACAGCAACGAUCAGCACCAGCCUCCACUAGC
ensembl:lncRNA